CGGGACGGGUGAGUAAUGUCUGGGAAACUGCCUGAUGGAGGGGGAUAACUACUGGAAACGGUAGCUAAUACCGCAUAACGUCGCAAGACCAAAGAGGGGGAUCUUAGGGCCUCUUGCCAUCGGAUGUGCCCAGAUGGGAUUAGCUAGUAGGUGGGGUAACGGCUCACCUAGGCGACGAUCCCUAGCUGGUCUGAGAGGAUGACCAGCCACACUGGAACUGAGACACGGUCCAG
rnacentral:rRNA from 1 species